GGCAGGCGCCAGACAACGGCGGGUGGGGCAACCCAUCCGAGGAAAGUCCGGGCACCGCCGGAACACCUGCCGGUUAAUUGCCGGGACGACGGGGCAAACCCAGUCGGACAUCAGGCCCACAGAGAGAUACCGCCUUGCCGGCCUUGGCCGGUGGGGUAAGGGUGAAAAGGUGGGGUAAAAGCCCACCGGCCGCGUGGUAACACGCGGGGCAAGGGAACCAUCGGGUGGUGCAAUUGCGAAUAGGCCCCGACCGUGCAGCGUUCCGGCUGCCUUGUUUCGGGGCGGGUUGCAAGCUGGAGGCGUAUGGCAACAUGCGUCCGAGAGGAAUCGUUGUCCACGACAGAACCCGGCUUAUCGGCGCCUUACUUUA
rnacentral:RNase_P_RNA from 1 species